rnacentral:lncRNA from 1 species
AUGUCUGAAGACCCAAUAUGGGUAGCCUGGAGGAACAUCUGCUGGCCACGGGACUGCUGCACGGGCUGUGACUGCCAGCGAGGCCUGGAGACCCGGCAGCUGUGGACUGCCCAGUGCCGAACAGCCCCUUUGGUGAGUUGGUGGAGCCCUCCCUCGCCUUUGCCUUCCCCAGGAUGGGUCACUGAGCUGGCCUCUCUCGGCUGGGGGGGAGGCGGGGGGGCAACUUCCAGAUGCUCAGGUUGGCCCCUACCCCGGGACCCCAGCUCACCCCCCCUUUCCCUGCCCUCCCAUUCCCCGCAUUUCUUCUGUUCCUUGAGAUGCCCCUUCUCUUCCACCCUUCUCUUCUCUCUGCCCGGCCUGGGUUCUCUGGGGCCACUGAGGAAUCACAGUGGGGUCCCCGAGCUCACCCUGUGGGCUGAAGGGGGUGAGGGCCUAAGGGUGGAGGCCCUUGAGGACUGGCUGGGGGAGGGGUGCUGGAGGAACAGUUCAUCCAGCUAAACCAGUUCACUCACGUGCCCCAUGACCAGGACCCCUUUCUCAGUAGUUGUGUCUGACUCUGCGACCCCACAGACUGUGGAGCCCACCAGGCUCCUCUGUCCAUGGGAUUCUAUAGGCAAGAAUACUGGAGUGGGUUGCCAUUUCCUUCUCCAGGGGAUCUUCCCCACCCAGGGACUGAACCUGUGUCUCUUGAGUCUCCUGCACUGGCAGGCGGAUUCUCUACCAAUAGCGCCACCUGGGGGCCACCCCCUUCCUUAGGGGCCAGGAGCAAAUCCUAGAGGCCACUGGGGCCUGGGAAGGGGUGUUUCUCAGCAGCCGCUGGACCCUGUCUGCUCUGGGCCACCUGCCUCUGAGGGAGUCCAUGAGCCCCGGGAGUCCUCCACUGGAAUAAGCUGGUCACCUGCAUCUGUAAAUUGGGUGGGGGGAGCAGGAAGGGCUUGACGCCAUUGUCCACCUUCCCCAGCCUGGUGGCCAGAGGUUGCUAGCAGCCCACCCACUCAAGGCGUGCAAGGGUUCUUUUUGCACGGGGCCUUGGGUCAGGGGGCGGCAUCUGACACGGACCCUUCUUCCUCCUGGGGGUGGGCAGAAGACAGAGGAAAGAGGACCACAUGGGGAAGUGGGUGCCAGCUCAUGGGAGUGGAAGAAGAUGCAGGUGGCCCAGGAGAUGCCAGCAGGGGUGGAUAGGCAGAGACAGGGGAAUGGCUUGAGGUGGGUGGGAACUGGUCAUUCCCCAGGUAUGGGAGUUGAGGGAGUUAGGGUCUUGCCCGGUCAGGCCCCACUAAGGU